CCUGUAGCUAUUCUCAUAGAGUUUAAGGCCAGAAGGGACCACCAGAUCAUCUAGUCUCAUCUCCUGUAUAUAACAGGGCAACACCACGCAGUACCCACAGAGCAAACCCAACAACCGAAAUUAGACUGAAGUAUCACAGCCCAGAGG